rnacentral:lncRNA from 1 species
CUCUCGACCCCAGCGACCAGCGUUACCACACCGACCGUCGUCCGCCUGUCCUGUGUCUGCCUGGCCGGAGGUGCCCCUGAAAGGUGAACUGCAGAGUAGUUUUAACCAUGUAGGGCUGCGUGGCGGAGAAAGGGCCUGAAAGGUUUGGGUUUUUAAAAGGCCGCAUUUCGGCUUCUUUCUUCCCCCCUUAGGACUGUCAGCUCCCUGGUUUUUCCGGAGAACUCCUUGGGGAUCUCAGAGGUGUAGUGUCAUCGCCCAGGCUGAUGCAGGGACACGUGUGGAGCUCCAUUCUCCGAGGUGCUCGUUAGGACCACUCCUCCGCCAGCAGCUUGGCUUUUACAUGUACCCUGCAGCAGGUACUUCUGGGCAUCGCGCGGAAGGGAAAAGGGGCACAACCCCCGUUUUGUUUUCCUUUGCAGGUCCUCUUCCCCUGGCAGUGGUGAGCCCUGAGGCACCACACAGGAUAGUGUGACGUCCUUCUUGCUCUUCCCCAGCGACACCCCAGUCCUUCUUCAAUCUGUCUAGUUACCCGUAUGCCCCUGUCGCUACAGGGUCUGGGCUUCACAACCAACCCCCCUGAAAAGCAAGGCAGGAUUGUUACCCCCAUCUGACCCAUGGAGAACUAAGGCACAAAGAUGCUAUUACUUCCCCAGACUCACACAAGAAGUGCACGCCACGAAAGCUUAUGCUCCCAGUACUUCUGUUAGUCUCAAAGGUGCCACAGGACCCUCUGUUGCUUUUUACAGAUUCAGACUAACACGGCUACCCCUCUGAUACUUGGCAGAGCUAGGAAUAUGACCCAUCUCCUUUGAGUCCCAGUCCUGUGCCUUCACCCACCACAAGACCAAGCUUCCUCCCUGCCUCAUGUGGUAGUGAGUUCCACAGGUUAAUUAUGCACCCUAUAAAAAUUUCCUUUUAUUCCCUUUCAGUUUCAUUGGGGGUCCCCUCAUUCUUCUGUCACAGGAAAGUGUGAAUGGGAUUCACCUUCUCUGGACCAGUCGUUAUUUUGCGUAUCUCCAUCGCAUUCCCUCUCAUGUGACUCCUCUGUAAACAGGUCUAAUCAUACCAAUCCCUCUAGCCAUUUUCAUUGCCCAUCUUUGGAGUCCAUCUGCUUCGGCUCUUUUUUGCUCUCUCAUUACCCCCCCUAUGUUUUCUGUCACCUCUGAUGACCACCUUUUUCUCCUCCUUGAUAUUUAUUCUCAUCACCUGAAUCCUCAGGCCAGUGCCCCUUUGCAAUGAAACCUGGGGCUCCCACCAGCCCGAACCUUUCUCCCUCUCCUGGAUUCUCCCUCUGCAUUACAGUCCCCACAUCUGGAAUCAGCUCCCCGUGGAAUCCCCUAAGCUGACCGGUCACCAAUAGGAAAAGCAAAUGCAAUACCCGUCUCCCGCCCACGGCACUUUCCUGACAUUCUGUAUCUAAGCAAACCUGUCCCCUGCUUGGCUGCUUUUCUUACCCUGCGUUUGUAAAGGCU